rnacentral:rRNA from 1 species
AGUGAACGCUGGCGGUAGGCCUAACACAUGCAAGUCGAACGGCAGCACAGUAAGAGCUUGCUCUUACGGGUGGCGAGUGGCGGACGGGUGAGGAAUACAUCGGAAUCUACUUUUUCGUGGGGGAUAACGUAGGGAAACUUACGCUAAUACCGCAUACGACCUACGGGUGAAAGCAGGGGAUCUUCGGACCUUGCGCGAUUGAAUGAGCCGAUGUCGGAUUAGCUAGUUGGCGGGGUAAAGGCCCACCAAGGCGACGAUCCGUAGCUGGUCUGAGAGGAUGACAGCCAAACUUGGACUUGAGAACGGGCCCGGCCCCCAACGGGAGGAAGCGGGGGGAAAUAUUGGCAAUUGGCGCAAGCCUGAUCCAGCCGUACCGCGUGGGUGAAGAAGGCCUUCGGGUUGUAAAGCCCUUUUGUUGGGAAAGAAAAGCAGCAGGUUAAUACCCCGCUGUUCUGACGGUACCCAAAGAAUAAGCACCGGCUAACUUCGUG